AGCCAGAGUGGUAUAGUGGUUUCAGCACUGGACUGUGACUCUGGAGAUCUGGGUUCGAUUCCUGCUCGGCUA